rnacentral:rRNA from 1 species
UACGGAGGGUGCGAGCGUUGUCCGGAAUCACUGGGCGUAAAGGGCGCGUAGGUGGCGCCGCAAGUCAACGGUGAAAGCUCGACGCUUAACGUCGAGUCGGCCGUCGAGACUGCGGGGCUCGAGCACUGUAGAGGCUCAUGGAAUUCCGGGUGUAGCGGUGGAAUGCGUAGAGAUCCGGAAGAACACCGGUGGCGAAGGCGGUGAGCUGGGCAGUAACUGACACUGAGGCGCGACAGCGUGGGGAGCAAACAGG